GCGGCGGACGGGUGAGUAACACGUGGGCAACCUGCCUCAUAGAGGGGAAUAGCCUUCCGAAAGGAAGAUUAAUACCGCAUAACAUUGUUGAAAGGCAUCUUUUAACAAUCAAAGGAGCAAUCCGCUAUGAGAUGGGCCCGCGGCGCAUUAGCUAGUUGGUGAGGUAACGGCUCACCAAGGCGACGAUGCGUAGCCGACCUGAGAGGGUGAUCGGCCACAUUGGAACUGAGACACGGUCCAGACUCCUACGGGAGGCAGCAGUGGGGAAUAUUGCACAAUGGGGGAAACCCUGAUGCAGCAACGCCGCGUGAGUGAUGAAGGUCUUCGGAUUGUAAAGCUCUGUCUUUAGGGACGAUAAUGACGGUACCUAAGGAGGAAGCCACGGCUAACUACGUGCCAGCAGCCGCGGUAAUACGUAGGUGGCAAGCGUUAUCCGGAUUUACUGGGCGUAAAGGGAGCGUAGGCGGAUAUUUAAGUGGGAUGUGAAAUACCCGAGCUUAACUUGGGAGCUGCAUUCCAAACUGGAUAUCUAGAGUGCAGGAGAGGAGAAUGGAAUUCCUAGUGUAGCGGUGAAAUGCGUAGAGAUUAGGAAGAACACCAGUGGCGAAGGCGAUUCUCUGGACUGUAACUGACGCUGAGGCUCGAAAGCGUGGGGAGCAAACAGGAUUAGAUACCCUGGUAGUCCACGCCGUAAACGAUUGAAUACUAGG
rnacentral:rRNA from 1 species